rnacentral:misc_RNA from 1 species
GAUGAAGAACGUAGCGAAAUGCGAUAAGUAGUGUGAAUUGCAAAAUUCAGUGAAUCAUCGAAUCUUUGAACGCACAUUGCGCCCCUUGGUAUUCCAUGGGGCAUGCCUGUUCGAGCGUCAUUUGUACCUUCAAGCUUUGCUUGGUGUUGGGUGUUUGUCCUGAGGGACUCGCCUUAAAGUAAUUGGCAGCCAGUGUUUUGGUUUUGAAGCGCAGCACAAGUCGCGAUUCAAGGCUAUACGCCAGCUUCCACAAGCCUUUUUCACUUUUGACCUCGGAUCAGGUAGGGAUACCCGCUGAACUUAAGCAUAUCAAUAAGCGGAGGA